rnacentral:rRNA from 1 species
ACAAGCGGUGGAUGAUGUGGAUUAAUUCGAUGCAACGCGAAAACCUUACCUACCUUGACAUGUCUGGAACCUUGCUGAGAGGCGAGGGUGCCUUCGGGAGCCAGAACACAGGUGCCGCAUGGCUGUCGUCAGCUCGUGUCGUGAGAUGUUGGGUUAAGUCCCGCAACGAGCGCAACCCUUGUCAUUAGUUGCCAUCAUUUAGUUGGGCACUCUAAUGAGACUGCCGGUGACAAACCGGAGGAAGGUGGGGAUGACGUCAAGUCCUCAUGGCCUUUAUGACCAGGGCUACACACGUACUACAAUGGCAGGUACAGAGGGCUGCGAAGCCGCGAGGUGGAGCGAAUCCCAGAAAACCUGUCUCAGUCCGGAUUGAAGUCUGCAACUCGACUUCAUGAAGGCGGAAUCGCUAGUAACCGCGAAUCAGCAGGUCGCGGUGAAUACGUUCCCGGGCCUU